rnacentral:lncRNA from 1 species
AACUGUCUGACUGAUAUGAGGGUGUUUUUAUGUAUAGAAAGUAAGAUGUGGUUACAUAUCACAUUACAUCAUAUUAAUCGUAUGUUAUAACCUCUCUUCUCUUCUCUCUUACAGCUGUAAUCACCCAAGUCACUCAGCAGAAUCCAACAGAUCCUCCAAAAAAUGAGACAACAGCACGAACCAUAACUACAUUUACUACAUCUGUGAUUCCCACAUCCACAGGGGUUUUAAUCACUGAUUCUACAGGGACCAGGAAGAGAGAAAAAUCACCCGCAACAGGACUACUGUUAGUCACAGCAGUGUCAGUCACUGGUAUCAGUGUCUUUCUGGGUGGAGUGAUGAUUAUCGUGCUCUGCAGUUUUAUCAGUAAGUUCAUCAGCUUGUGAUGUACGCUGCUUUCAUACAGUAAAGAACAACAGAUCUUAUCAGCUUGCUUUGUCUAGUUUCACUGUAAACCUAUUGUGUGAAAAUAAUUGUGCAGUAUUUAGUAAACAUUAAUGUGAAUGUGUUUUAUUAUAGAGAAGCAGCAGAGCAGAAAAAGGUUGGAAACUUUUAGUUAAAUUAUGCAUGGUUAUAAUAUAGUCAUCUAAAUGAAUAAGGUCUGCAAUUAAAUGUGCCUUUUUUUAAGAAAAUGUUAAUUGUAUGUAUUUACCCUAACAGAUUUAAGGUCAACUCAAAAACUGGAGACCAAGGUAUGUUAAAUAUUUGAACACAGUACUGAUAAAAAUACAAAACUAUGUUAAUUUACAGUGAGUAAAGAUCAACUGAAACUGUUAUAUAUUUUUAGUAUGGAUGGCAGCCAUGGUCAGUGCUCCGGAAUCCAGUGCAGAAGCUCCUGGAACAUAUUCAGUGAUUUCUCCAGCAGACACAUCUUUCCAGCCAUCAGGAAAUACAACACCCAUUAAGAAUUGUGAUAAUUUUGAUCCACAGGCUGAGACAUACUCCGAGAUCACCCCAAUAGCAGCUCCACCUGAACGCUCAGGUUCCAGCAAAGCAAAAGAAAACUCAGGAUGUUCUGAGAGUGAUGUUUAUCACAUGUACUGCACCAUCCCUGACCUGCAUGUGACCCCCAUUCAGAAUGAUGCCGUCUACAGCCUGUUGCAGAAGCACUGAUCUAAUGUCUAAUGCAUUUCACACUAUUUAAACAAAUUCUUGUUAUAUAGUUAAUUCUUUGUGAAAUUAAUAUUGAAUAUACUAAUGUUCAUGUUAUUGUGCACUUGAUUCCUUUCACUUGUUUUUAAAUGCCUGUAAUACUGGGUUUUACCAUUAGAAAAAAAAUGUGUUUAUUACUGUUGUUAGUACUGUUAUUUAUGAUCUUUAUUGUACAAUGUUACCAUCAACCCUUACAUAACUUUUGCAUGAGUUUAAUAUAAUGUAAUAUAUAAAUACAAUACUGUUAUAUUGUAUGUAUCAUCUGGAAUAAAUCAUCUUACUUUCUGUGACUAAUAGUGGUU